UACGUAGGCAGCGAGCGUUGUUCGGAAUUACUGGGCGUAAAGAGUGUGUAGGCGGUGCUCCCAGUCUGUUGUGAAAUCUCCCGGCUUAACUGGGAGGGUGCAGCGGAAACUAGAGUGCUAGAGGGGUGGGAGAGUAAGCGGAAUUCCUGGUGUAGCGGUGAAAUGCGUAGAUAUCAGGAGGAACACCUGUGGUGUAGACAGCUUACUGGACCACUUCUGACGCUGAGACACGAAAGCGUGGGUAGCAAACAGG
rnacentral:rRNA from 1 species